rnacentral:rRNA from 1 species
GACGAACUCUGACGGCGUGCUUAACACAUGCAAGUCGAACGAAGAGCGAUGGAAGCUUGCUUCUAUCAAUCUUAGUGGCGAACGGGUGAGUAACGCGUAAUCACCCUGCCCUUCAGAGGGGGACAACAGUUGGAAACGGUCUGCUAAUACCGCAUACGAUCUAAUCUCGGCAUCGAGGAUAGAUGAAAGGUGGCCUCUACAUGUAAGCUAUCACUGAAGGAGGGGAUUGCGUCUGAUUAGCUAGUUGGAGGGGUAACGGCCCCCCAAGGCGAUGAUCAGUAGCCGGUCUGAGAGGAUGAACGGCCCCAUUGGGACUGAGACACGGCCCAGACUCCUACGGGAGGCAGCAGGGGGAAUCUUCCGCAAUGGACGAAAGUCUGACGGAGCAACGCCGCGUGAGUGAUGACGGCC